rnacentral:rRNA from 1 species
CGGCUCAGUAACACGUCGAUAAUCUGCCCUUAAGUCUGGGAUAACCUUGGGAACUGAGGCUAAAACCGGAUGGGAAAACACUUCUGGAAUGAUUGUUUUUUUAAAAGCAAUGCUUAAGGAUGAGUCGGCGGCGGAUUAGGCUGUUGGCGAGGUAAAGGCUCACCAAACCGAAGAUCCGUACGGGCUUUGAGAGAAGUAGCCCGGAGAGGGGCACUGAGAUACUGGCCCCAGCCCUACGGGGUGCAGCAGGCGCGAAACCUUUGCAAUGCACGUAAGUGUGACAGGGGAAUCCAGAGUGCUUAUACAAAGUAUAGGCUUUUGCCAAGAGUAAAUAUCUUGGAGAAUAAGUGGUGGGAAAGACUGGUGCCAGCCGCCGCGGUAACCCCAGCGCCACUAGUGGGAAUCGCGUUUAUUUGGCCUAAAGCAUCCGUAGCUGGUUCUGUAAAUCUCUUGUGAAAUUGUUAGGCUCAACCUAACAGCGUGCAGGAGACACUGCAAAACUACGGACUGGGAGGAGUCAGAGGUAUGCUGUGGGGAGCGGUAAAAUGCUAUAAUCCACGGUAGACCACCUGUGGCGAAGGCGUCUGACUAGAACAGGUCCGACAGUGAG